rnacentral:rRNA from 1 species
AUUGAACGCUGGCGGCAGGCUUAACACAUGCAAGUCGAACGGUAGCAGGAGGAAGCUUGCUUUCUUGCUGACGAGUGGCGGACGGGUGAGUAAUGCUUGGGAAUCUGGCUUAUGGAGGGGGAUAACUACGGGAAACUGUAGCUAAUACCGCGUAGAAUCGGAAGAUGAAAGUGCGGGACCGCAAGGCCGCAUGCCAUGAGAUGAGCCCAAGUGGGAUUAGGUAGUUGGUGGGGUAAAGGCCUACCAAGCCUGCGAUCUCUAGCUGGUCUGAGAGGAUGGCCAGCCACACUGGAACUGAGACACGGUCCAGACUCCUACGGGAGGCAGCAGUGGGGAAUAUUGCGCAAUGGGGGAAACCCUGACGCAGCCAUGCCGCGUGAAUGAAGAAGGCCUUCGGGUUGUAAAGUUCUUUCGGUAUUGAGGAAGGUUGAUGUGUUAAUAGUACAUCAAAUUGACGUUAAAUACAGAAGAAGCACCGGCUAACUCCGUGCCAGCAGCCGCGGUAAUACGGAGGGUGCGAGCGUUAAUCGGAAUAACUGGGCGUAAAGGGCACGCAGGCGGUUAUUUAAGUGAGGUGUGAAAGCCCCGGGCUUAACCUGGGAAUUGCAUUUCAGACUGGGUAACUAGAGUACUUUAGGGAGGGGUAGAAUUCCACGUGUAGCGGUGAAAUGCGUAGAGAUGUGGAGGAAUACCGAAGGCGAAGGCAGCCCCUUGGGAAUGUACCGACGCUCAUGUGCGAAAGCGUGGGGAGCAAACAGG